GCCAGCAGCUAUAUUACCCUGCAACUCACAACUGGCAACCUUCUGAAGCUAAGCAGAUAUGAGCCUGGCCAGUACCUGGAUGAGAGACCUCUUGGGAAAGCUAAGGUUACUGCUGGAA
rnacentral:rRNA from 1 species